rnacentral:lncRNA from 1 species
AGCUAUUAGGCAGCUUAAAAGUUGAAAAAGUGGUAAAUGAAAAGGCUGUCCAGCUAUGACAUACUAUUGAAAUGCCGUUGUGAAUGAUGAAGAUUGUGUUGAUGUUGUUGGUGAUGAUAAAAUAGUCUCAUUGUGCUUGAAAUUCUAUUACAAAUAUUUAUUUUUAGGUUUUUUCAAGCUUAUUCCUUUAUAGUUAUGCUGAUAUGAUUAAUUUUUAAAGGGAUAGCAUAAAGUAGGAUCCUUGAAUUUGUUGAUCUCAUUUUGUUUCAUAAUCUUUGGUAGAUUUUGAGGUUCCUACAAUUUUGAAUUGCAUGGCCAGAAGUAAUCUUCUCGUCACUAGGAAGAUCAAGCAUAGUUCUACAGCUUGGAUUCCUGGGAAUCUUGAUUCAUUUUGCUUACAAUCCAUCAUUAGAUAUGCUAACAUUGCUUUCAAAACAAUACAACCUGUGCAUUGCACGGGGCAAAG